rnacentral:rRNA from 1 species
GAUGAACGCUGGCGGCGUGCCUAAUACAUGCAAGUCGAGCGGACGGACGAGAAGCUUGCUUCUCUGAUGUUAGCCGCGGACGGGUGAGUAACACGUGGAUAACCUACCUAUAAUACUGGGAUAACUUCGGGAAACCGGAGCUAAUCCCGUAUGAUCUUUUGAACCGCAUGGUUCAAAAGUGAAAGACGGUCUUGCUGUCACUUAUAGCUGGAUCCGCGCUUGAUUAGCUAGUUGGUAAGGUAACGGCUUACGAAGGCGACGAUGCAUAGCCGACCUGAGAGAGUGAUAGGCCACACGGGAACGUAGACACGGACAAGACUCCUACGGGACGCAGCAGAAGGGAAUCUGACGCAAUGGGCGAAAGCCUGACGGAGCAACGCCGCGUGAGUGAUGAAGGUCUUCGGAGCGUAAAACUCUGUUAUUAGGGAAGAACAUAUGUGUAAGUAACUGUGCACAUCUUGACGGUAACUAAUCAGAAAGCCACGGCUAACUACGUG